rnacentral:rRNA from 1 species
GCACAAGCGGCGGAGCAUGUGGAUUAAUUCGAUGCAACGCGAAGAACCUUACCUGGGCUUGACAUAUACGGGAUCGGCGUAGAGAUACGUUUUCCCUUGUGGCUCGUAUACAGGUGGUGCAUGGUUGUCGUCAGCUCGUGUCGUGAGAUGUUGGGUUAAGUCCCGCAACGAGCGCAACCCUUGUCUUGUGUUGCCAGCACGUUAUGGUGGGGACUCGCGAGAGACUGCCGGGGUUAACUCGGAGGAAGGUGGGGAUGACGUCAAAUCAUCAUGCCCCUUAUGUCCAGGGCUUCACACAUGCUACAAUGGUCGGUACAGUGGGUUGCGAUACCGUGAGGUGGAGCUAAUCCCUUAAAGCCGGUCUCAGUUCGGAUUGGAGUCUGCAACUCGACUCCAUGAAGUCGGAGUCGCUAGUAAU